UACAGAGGUCCCGAGCGUUGUUCGGAUUCACUGGGCGUAAAGGGUGCGUAGGUGGUGGAGCAAGUUUGAUGUGAAAUCUCCGGGCUUAACCCGGAAACUGCAUUGAAUACUAUUCCGCUGGAGGUUUGGAGGGGGGACUGGAAUUCUCGGUGUAGCAGUGAAAUGCGUAGAUAUCGAGAGGAACACCAGUGGCGAAGGCGAGUCCCUGGACAACACCUGACACUGAGGCACGAAAGCUAGGGGAGCAAACAGG
rnacentral:rRNA from 1 species